UCUGUCAUCGGAGAGAACAAUCUGGAAGGUGCGGUGCGCUUGAUUCCUUCCAGCGCCGGUGUCUUCCGCCCGAAUCCUAAAGCCCCGGUGGGUGGAUUCGGGAGU
rnacentral:ribozyme from 1 species